rnacentral:rRNA from 1 species
AAGGAAUAUUGGGCAAUGCCCGCAAGGGUGACCCAGCAACGCCGCGUGGAGGAUGAAUGUCGUAAGAUUGUAAACUCCUGUUAGAGGGGAAGAAUAGUACCGGUUGGACCGGUAUAUGACUGUACCCUCAGAGAAAGCCCCGGCUAACUACGUGCCAGCAGCCGCGGUAAUACGUAGGGGGCAAGCGUUGUUCGGAGUUACUGGGCGUAAAGAGUGCGUAGGCGGUUUUCUAAGUUCGGUGUGAAAUCUCCCGGCUUAACUGGGAGGGUGCGCCGAAGACUGGGAAGCUGGAGUGUGGGAAAGGCAGGCGGAAUUCCUGGUGUAGCGGUGAAAUGCGUAGAUAUCAGGAGGAACACCGGCGGUGUAGACGGCUUGCUAGACCAUAACUGACGCUGAGGCACGAAAGCGUGGGUAGCAAACA